GAUGAAGAACGCAGCGAAAUGCGAUAAGUAGUGUGAAUUGCAGAAUUACCUGAAUCAUCGAAUCUUUGAACGCACAUUGCGCCCGCCAGCACUCUGGCGGGCAUGCCUGUUCGAGCGUCAUUUCAACCAUCAAGCCCCCAGGGGCUUGUGCUGGGGCCCUGCGGCUGCCCGCAGGCCCUGAAAACCAGUGGCGGGCUCGCUAGUCACACCGAGCGCAGUAGCACAUCUCGCUCAGGGCGUGCGGCGGGCUCCUGCCGUGAAACCCCCCACUGUAACCCCAAAGGUUGACCUCGGAUCAGGUAGGAAUACCCGCUGAACUUAAGCAUAUCAAUAAGCGGAGG
rnacentral:misc_RNA from 1 species